CUCGAGUUUCCAUUAAGUCUCGAGCUUCAAAGACAGGCUAGAAAUCUCAGAAACUCGAAGAAUCGAAAAAAUGAGAAGAUCAUGGGGUCAAGCAAUGUUUAUCGAAAGAUAAAGAAAGUGAAACCGAGAGGGAAACUCUACCCAGAAGGAAUAUAGGGUUUUAUCUUUGUUCUCUUGAGGUACACUGCGCAAGAAUCCUAGAGAAAGAAAUGGAAAGUCGAGCCAAGUAGCACUCGAUUUGAACUUAGAGCGAUCAAUCCGUUUGUUUUUCUACUCGAUGGAUUUUUUUGUCUCGAUUUUAUUGGGAACCAAACUGAAUGUCAAGGAUGUGACUAUCUGUUGAAGUUCUUGAUCGUGCUCAUUUCCGUUGUUGAUUCUGAUUUUUGAUCUCCACAUGCACAAAACCUGCAAAAAAUGAUGAGAUGAAAGCACGCAGCAUAUUCAGAUUUGAAUGGUGUGAACCCUUGGUUACAUUUGCACCCUUCUGUGGAAGCUGUUCUUCUCUUGUUGUAAGUUUGUAUUCAAUCCUGGUGAUAUUCUUAAUUUGUGGAGGAAGUCCCAUGUUUUUUUUUUUUUUUAAUAUUUUGGACCAUGAGAGUAUAAUUUAUGGGUUCAUAGACUAUUCAUAAGGUUGAUUUUCAAUUGGAGAAGUACCCUACAAGUAUAAUCAGUUUGUUUACAAAUUCUAUUGAUGAAAUUAUACAGACAACAACGCUUUAUUUA